rnacentral:lncRNA from 1 species
UGAAAGUGGAGAAGAGUGAUCAUUUCCCUCUCUGCAGGCUGGAAAAAAGCAUGUUUGAUGUUUGCAAACAUAACAUCCACACGCUCAUCACUUCUACUAGUUGAAAAUCUAAAUCCAUUUACAUGAGCUUCCAGAGCACCAGGUAGUUUUCUUCCCCGGCCACCAAAUGCUGGACGGAUCCAAAGGUCCGCCAACCUUAUUGGCUUGAAUCUACUCCCAGCAAGCUGAAGUUUCUCCUGAGUAACCAAGGUUGCCCUCUCAGCCCUCUCAGACUCCCUAGCCACAACAUGCCGUCUAAGUGUCUUAAUCUGCUGUACCACUUCACUGAUGUGCCUAGGGUCCUUGGACCGAAAUGAAACUUCCUUCAGGUAAAUAGCCCCUGGGUACUUCAGUGAAUUUGCAUCGUGUGGACUAAAAGGAGUUCCCGGCACAUUAAAUAUAAUACGGAUAUAGCAAUUUCUGUUGGUGUCUUGCUGGCUGGAAACUGUCCUGAUUGUAGCAACAUGGAAAGGUACCAUACUCCCAUAAAUAGGCAGAAGCACAGCCUCAUUCUUCUGGUCUAUCUGAAUCAUUAGAUCUCUUGCAGGAGGAAUAUCAUUGACAUUCUUGUAUGCUAUCAAAUCAGUUGAAGUCUUUGCAGCUCCACGGUUGUCUCCUGUUGCUCUUUCUUCACCAGUAAGUCGCCUUGCAGUUUCUUCAUUCUUUUGACGGGCAAGCUCCGCCUGGUGCUGCCUGCGAAUCUCCUCCUUUGAGAUCUCCCCUGAAUCAGACCUUAGUGUUGUCUUGGACAUGAAGGCCUUUGUGCCAUUAGCCCCAGGUUUAGGUUCUGGUUUUACUUCAUCCUCUUCAGUGAAAGAGUAAGCCACAUCUUUAACAGCUUUUGAGCUCUUACAAGUUGCCACUUCUGGAUUUGUUUGGCCUACAAUAACAGUAUCAGCAACUAAUAGAGAAUAAUUCCGGAUCUUUGGGUUAUUUGUUUGGUUCUGUAAGUUCUGAAAACCGAGUGACAAAUUAAAAAUCAUAUUUGGCCUCAACGAUCGAUCAUUCUUGGCAUUAAGAUUCAGGCCAGACUCACGGAACUCAAGCCCAAUCCCUGUACCUACUGAUUUUGUCAGAUAGGGAACUAAUUCAGGAGCCUCUUUCUCAACCACUGACACAGCUGCUUGAUACACAGCACUGAUCUUGUUCCCAGGCUUUAAUGCACCAAUUGCUGCUUCAUGGGCUUUGAGCAGAACCUCAUAAGCCUUUCUCUGCAUUGGAUUGGCAUCAAUCAAGAAUGUCCUGGCAAGGUUUGAACAGUAAUUGUUAUAUCGGGCUCCAAUUGCAACUAUGAUGACACUGGCAGGAUCAUAGUAGAGAUACUCAUCAUUGCUGGCAGCACUGGGUCUGAGAUCAAAUUCUCCUCCACUUUGAAAUAUGGGAGGGUAACAUAUAUCACAAUUUUCUGCUUUUAACUUCGCCCUAGCUUUGGCAGGAUCCAUUAUGGCCUUCUCUGCGUCAUCCAUCAAAGCAGAAUGGGUAACUUUCUUCUCCUCAUCAAUAGCAUUCUCAAGAGUGGGAAUGACAACAUUGCUCAUCACACUAACACUCAAAUAAGCAGCUUUCUUUACAUUCAAAAUCUCUUCAGCAUCCUUGAAAGCAAGCAGGUCAGAAAACCCAUUAGUUACAUCGGCAAUCUGCUGGAAACCUGCAGUCUUCAGUUUUUCAGCCCAAGUCUCCAAAAGAGUACCUUCUGGAACCUCCUUGGCUAUGUAUCCAACAACACUAGCAUUUGGCUGCGCUCGAAUAGCACGAAAUAUAGCUUCCAUUAAUGUUGUCCCAUCAUCCCCCUUUGCCUUGACAUGAAUAACAACAUCUAUACCUCCCGCAACAUCAUGAGCAGGUGUUCUCAAAACCUCAAGCAAAGCAGCCUUCUUUUGACUACACAAGAAAUGAAUCUGCUUCUUGGUAAAUACCAUUAUAGUGUCCGGGAACUCAUAACCUAGUAACCAAAGAUUCAUGGCGGAUGAUUUCAGGUACCGCAAAUCAUCCGAAGGUGGCGGCGUAGCUAUUGCAAGCGCAUCAGCAGACCCCCAUAGUUCAUCCUUGUGUUUAUUCCAAUGCGAAUACAGUGUCUUAAGUCGUAGUUUGAACUUAUCGGUGUUAAUCUUAUAUGCAUUUUGGCCCCCGCUAGGGUUCCGCUGGUCAGCCAUAUGGGUUCCUCAGCCCUGACAAGCCAAUUUUCAAUCCAGAAAGAAAAAAAGUAAAAGAAAAAUUCGACACCAGUUGUGGUUUAAAACACCUAGUUCUGGCGGCGCCGCACCAUAAUCAGUACGAAAAAGAGAAAAUACUAGGUUUAGGGUUAUGGAACAAGCCAAAACACAAUUGACUCUGGAAUAGAGAAAACGAACAAAAACACAGAAAUAAAAGAAGGAUAAUUCAGGGAAAAAAGAGACCAAGUUUCUCGAAGAUCCAGUAGAAGAAAGAAACUUACCGGAAUCGAAGAACAAGCUUCAAAAAAUGAAAAGGGAGAACUCGAGAGAAGAGAGUGAGUGAAAUUUUUGUUUCCUUUAAUGUUUUGGACUUCCGAACUCAAUAAGAAGUUCUUGCGUAAAUUAGUACUUUUUAUCAAAUUAAUUAAUUAGUUCCCACUUUUUUUUCAAAGUUAAAAUUCAAUUCAUUAUAAAUGAGGCGCACAGUUACAGAUGCAGAGCCCACACACAAAUUGAAAAUAAUCUAAGGCCCAGUAAAAAUAAAAACUAAAUUGUAACCCAUAGCAGAAAAACUCUAAACCCUACAUGUAGAUACGAUCCAGUGCAUCAUAAUUUUCACAGCCUCUCAAUUGAGCUGCUGGUCACCUAAGAAAGAAAAUCACCACCAGGCUUGAUCUGAUCUCCCAAAUAGUAACCUUACAGCCUUAGCAACCCACGCUAAAGCUCAAGAUAAGAUGAAGGCAAGCAGCAAUCCAAGAGAGAGAGGAGACACAAAAGCUCCAUAUACACACAUGCAACCACACUGUUUAUUGACGGGAAAUCUUUUUUAAUAAAAUAAUUUAAUAUUAUUUUUAAUUUUAAUUUAGAAAAUAAAAUAUUAAUAAAUUUAUAUAUGUAAGUGUUGAUAAAAAUUUUAAAAAGUAAAAAAUGACUUAUUUUUAAAAUUUUUUUUACUAUUCUAAAUAUAAAAAAUUAUUAAAAAAAAAUAUUAUUAUAAAAAAUAGUUUUCGUAAAAUAAAUGGCACCUAAAAGUUGUAACCUUUUUCUUUUUCCACUCAUGGUAGUUGAAAUGCUCUCUUUGGUUGGGCUUUGAGUUUGAAUCUUAUUAUUUUGUGGGCGUAGUUAGAGCUUUGCUCUUAUUGGAUUUGCGCGUGUGCCCCUUUAUGAUGGGUCUUACACCAAUUAUGCUUUAAUAAAUCCUAUUUUCAUUUUUGUAAAACAUAUUAUUAGCAUUGAUUUACUCAUUUUUCAAAUUGUGAGAAAUAUCAAUAAAUCUAAAUUUUAUAAUAUCAAAGUUAUUUCGUUUCAAGUUAAAAAAAAUUAGAAACAUCAACUUCUUGUACAUUACAUUCUUCUAUUACAAAGAAAGGGGAAAAUCCAUUAAAAAUCAUUAAUUAGAAACUAUUCUAGGCCAAGCCACGCCUUAAGCAUUCUCUUGAAGUAGAGAAAUAACUGCAGAUAGGAGGAAACUAUAAAACAUCCAAAUUUGAACUGCUAGACCAUUGAAUCAUAACGAAGAACAAUAUUUCAGAUGUACAACUUUAAUCCAUUAAAACUAAUAUCGGCAACUUACGACCAGAAAUCUAUCUUCCAAGCCUCCUACUUGACAUUCAAAAGACAACUGAUUAAAUAAGAACCAUAAGAAUUACCACUAGCUGAUGGCUUCAAUGCAAGCCACGUCAGGAAACUGAAUUUCUAAAGCAAAAUUGCCUGCAGCUGCUACAUAGUACAAAGAAAAGGGGUAAAAAACAUUCUUCACAUCUAUCUGAAUCUGGAACGCUUGGCCAAGCUGCUACUAGGAGGGGCUCGAGACUUCCCAAGUUUCUUCAUUUUCCUUCUAUUCCUCUCCACCUCACUGUCUGACUCAUCCCCUUUCUCCCUGUCCGCAUUGCUUGCUUCCCUCUCUAACUCUUCCCAUGUCUUGCCCUUUUCUUCCUCAGAAUCGUCAUCUGAAUCAUCAUCCUCCUCAUCAUCAUCAGAUUCCACCAAUGACUCACUAUCAGAGUCAUCAUCUUCUGACUCAGACUCAGGUUCGGCGUCUGAUGGCUCAUAACCCUUGUCUGAAUCCUCGGAAUUCUCAGAGUCUGAAUCACUUGCUUCCAGAUUCAAAAAUUCCCAACCCCCUUCAUCUAUGAAACUCUGAGGGUCAUCAGUAAUUGUCUUCAGUAUCUGCCGCCAGUUCAAAUUCAACUUGCUCUCGUAAUACUUGAUGUCUGUAGUGUCGAGCCAUUCCUUUAUACCAUCCAGUGAUGUCGAUGGAAUAGAAUCAAUCCUAAGGACAUCUCGCUUGAAAUCCUUAAACACAAUGGUCAUAUCAAAAUUUUUCUGUCCAAGACCAACUCUCUCCAAGUUCACAAUCUCAAUCUCACUUAGGGUGACAACAAGGAAAGGAGUCUCAAUUAGCUCGACCAAGCAGCUUGAAGUUGGGAUGAUGAAAGAUGAGGUUUUGUAGGGCACCCCAUGGAAGCCAAGCUCUCUCAAAGGCUGAUCAAACUCAAGGUCGAGUCCACUAAACUGCGGUUGGCUCCAGAGAUCGUUCACCCGAUUUACAAAGCUCUGAAAAUCCAUAUUGAUCUUAUUCUUCCUGUCUCUUUCCCUUUGCUCUUCUUCAAUUUCAUCAGGGUCAUAUGCAGACCUCUUUCCGCCUCCCAAAGUCUGGACCGACUCCAUCACUUCUACAUAAAACUGCACAUCCUUGGUUUUCUUGUUCCCUACCAUGAUAUGAUUGUGAAGGUGAAAGUGGAGAAGAGUGAUCAUUUCCCUCUCUGCAGGCUGGAAAAAAGUAUGUUUGAUGUUUGCAAACAUAACAUCCACGCGCUCAUCAUUUCUACUGGUUGAAAAUCUAAAUCCAUUUACAUGAGCUUCCAGAGCACCAGGUAGUUUUCUUCCCCGGCCACCAAAUGCCGGACGGAUCCAAAGGUCUGCCAACCUUAUUGGCUUGAAUCUACUCCCCGCAAGCUGAAGUUUCUCCUGAGUAACCAAGGUUGCCCUCUCAGCCCUCUCAGACUCCCUAGCCACAACAUGCCGUCUAAGUGUCUUAAUCUGCUGUACCACUUCGCUGAUGUGCCUAGGGUCCUUCGACCGAAAUGAAACCUCCUUAAGGUAAAUAGCCCCUGGAUACUUCAGUGAAUUAGCAUCAUGUGG